GCUCUGAUGGCCGAGUGGUUAAGGCGUUGGACUUAAAAUCCAAUUAGCAAUUCACAUGCGGGUUCGAACCCUGCUCGCAGCG